rnacentral:rRNA from 1 species
UACGAAGGGGGCUAGCGUUGCUCGGAAUCACUGGGCGUAAAGGGCGCGUAGGCGGCGUUUUAAGUCGGGGGUGAAAGCCUGUGGCUCAACCACAGAAUUGCCUUCGAUACUGGUUGGCUUGAGACCGGAAGAGGACAGCGGAACUGCGAGUGUAGAGGUGAAAUUCGUAGAUAUUCGCAAGAACACCCGUGGCUAAGGCGGCUCUCUAGUACGGUACUGACGCUGAGACGCGAAAGCGUGGGGAGCGAACAGG